rnacentral:rRNA from 1 species
UACGAAGGAUGCAAGCGUUAUCCGGAUUUAUUGGGUUUAAAGGGUGCGUAGGCGGCCUUAUAAGUCAGUGGUGAAAUCUUGUCGCUUAACGACAAACGUGCCAUUGAUACUGUAGGGCUUGAGUACAGAUGCCGUUGGCGGAAUGUGUCAUGUAGCGGUGAAAUGCAUAGAUAUGACACAGAACACCGAUUGCGAAGGCAGCUGACGAAACUGUAACUGACGCUGAUGCACGAAAGCGUGGGGAUCAAACAGG